GGCAAGGUCAGCUAAUUAAGCUUUCGGGUCCAUACCCCGAACAUGGCGGUUAAAAUCCCACCCCUACCA
rnacentral:tRNA from 1 species